CUGCUGUCAGCUCUGCAGGGCAUAGCUCCCACUCCCACCAAAUGCAGAUCCGAACUUUUAUUUUUGAUUAUUCAUUCAGGAGGUGUGGGAGGAAGAGGCAAGAACAAGAGAGACAAGACCAGCAUCUAUUCACCACCCUUAAUUGCUGUGGAGAAGGUGGAGAUGUACAGAAGAAAACAGGAGCAAGAAUAGGCCGCUCAAGCUGCUCCACCUUUCUGUAUGAACAUGGCUGAUCUAAACUUGGCUCAACUCCUCUUCUGUGCCAGGGUAUUGCCAAGGCCACGCUUGGAAUAUUGUGUUCAGUUUUUGCCCUGUUGCUGGAAAGACAUCGUUAAACUGGAGAGAGAGCAGAGAAAAGUCUACAGAAGGUGGACUAUAGCGUGCAGUCCGUCACAGGGAAAGCCCUCCCCAUGAUUUUGCACAUCGACAAGGGGUUCUGCCACGAGAAAGCAGCCUCCAUCAUCGAGGACCCCCACCAUCCAGGCCUUGCCCUCUUCUCACUCCUGCCAACAGGAUGGGAAUACUGGAGCUUCAGGUCCCAGACCACCAGGUUCAGGAACAGUUAAUA